rnacentral:rRNA from 1 species
AAAGGUCCCAAACAAACUUGCAAAGGAAUAACUGACGCAAUGUCGCAUUGCUGGUGGGGUGACAGUGAUGACCAAAAAAAGAUGCAUUAGAUGGCUUGGUGGAAGUUGUGUUUGCCGAAACAACGAGAGGGUAUGGUUUUCCGUGACAUCCAUUGCUUUAACCUUGCUUUGUUGGCUAAGCAAGCCUCGAGGUUAGUAGACAAUUCAGACUCACUAUGCGCAACAAUUCUAAAAGCAAUUUUUUUCUGGACAAUGAUUUACUCAAUGCAAACCUAA